UGAGGAAUAUUGGUCAAUGGGCGAGAGCCUGAACCAGCCAAGUAGCGUGAAGGAUGACUGCCCUAUGGGUUGUAAACUUCUUUUAUAAAGGAAUAAAGUCGGGUAUGGAUACCCGUUUGCAUGUACUUUAUGAAUAAGGAUCGGCUAACUCCGUGCCAGCAGCCGCGGUAAUACGGAGGAUCCGAGCGUUAUCCGGAUUUAUUGGGUUUAAAGGGAGCGUAGAUGGAUGUUUAAGUCAGUUGUGAAAGUUUGCGGCUCAACCGUAAAAUUGCAGUUGAUACUGGAUAUCUUGAGUGCAGUUGAGGCAGGCGGAAUUCGUGGUGUAGCGGUGAAAUGCUUAGAUAUCACGAAGAACUCCGAUUGCGAAGGCAGCCUGCUAAGCUGCAACUGACAUUGAGGCUCGAAAGUGUGGGUAUCAAACAGGAUUAGAUACCCUGGUAGUCCACACGGUAAACGAUGAAUACUCGCUGUUUGCGAUAUACAGCAAGCGGCCAAGCGAAAGCGUUAAGUAUUCCACCUGGGGAGUACGCCGGCAACGGUGAAACUCAAAGGAAUUGACGGGGGCCCGCACAAGCGGAGGAACAUGUGGUUUAAUUCGAUGAUACGCGAGGAACCUUACCCGGGCUUAAAUUGCAGAUGAAUUACGGUGAAAGCCGUAAGCCGCAAGGCAUCUGUGAAGGUGCUGCAUGGUUGUCGUCAGCUCGUGCCGUGAGGUGUCGGCUUAAGUGCCAUAACGAGCGCAACCCUUGUUGUCAGUUACUAACAGGUCCUGCUGAGGACUCUGACAAGACUGCCAUCGUAAGAUGUGAGGAAGGUGGGGAUGACGUCAAAUCAGCACGGCCCUUACGUCCGGGGCUACACACGUGUUACAAUGGGGGGUACAGAGGGCCGCUACCACGCGAGUGGAUGCCAAUCCCCAAAACCUCUCUCAGUUCGGACUGGAGUCUGCAACCCGACUCCACGAAGCUGGAUUCGCUAGUAAUCGCGCAUCAGCCACGGCGCGGUGAAUACGUUCCC
rnacentral:rRNA from 1 species